GGGUAGCUUGCUACCUGACCUAGCGGCGGACGGGUGAGUAAUGCUUAGGAAUCUGCCUAUUAGUGGGGGACAACAUUCCGAAAGGAAUGCUAAUACCGCAUACGCCCUACGGGGGAAAGCAGGGGAUCUUCGGACCUUGCGCUAAUAGAUGAGCCUAAGUCAGAUUAGCUAGUUGGUGGGGUAAAGGCCUACCAAGGCGACGAUCUGUAGCGGGUCUGAGAGGAUGAUCCGCCACACUGGGACUGAGACACGGCCCAGACUCCUACGGGAGGCAGCAGUGGGGAAUAUUGGACAAUGGGCGAAAGCCUGAUCCAGCCAUGCCGCGUGUGUGAAGAAGGCCUUUUGGUUGUAAAGCACUUUAAGCGAGGAGGAGGCUACUUGGAUUAAUACUCUAGGAUAGUGGACGUUACUCGCAGAAUAAGCACCGGCUAACUCUGUGCCAGCAGCCGCGGUAAUACAGAGGGUGCGAGCGUUAAUCGGAUUUACUGGGCGUAAAGCGUGCGUAGGCGGCUUUUUAAGUCGGAUGUGAAAUCCCUGAGCUUAACUUAGGAAUUGCAUUCGAUACUGGGAAGCUAGAGUAUGGGAGAGGAUGGUAGAAUUCCAGGUGUAGCGGUGAAAUGCGUAGAGAUCUGGAGGAAUACCGAUGGCGAAGGCAGCCAUCUGGCCUAAUACUGACGCUGAGGUACGAAAGCAUGGGGAGCAAACAGGAUUAGAUACCCUGGUAGUCCAUGCCGUAAACGAUGUCUACUAGCCGUUGGGGCCUUUGAGGCUUUAGUGGCGCAGCUAACGCGAUAAGUAGACCGCCUGGGGAGUACGGUCGCAAGACUAAAACUCAAAUGAAUUGACGGGGGCCCGCACAAGCGGUGGAGCAUGUGGUUUAAUUCGAUGCAACGCGAAGAACCUUACCUGGUCUUGACAUAGUAAGAACUUCCAGAGAUGGAUG
rnacentral:rRNA from 1 species